GAUGAACGCUGGCGGCGUGCCUAAUACAUGCAAGUCGAGCGAACAGACGAGGAGCUUGCUCCUCUGACGUUAGCGGCGGACGGGUGAGUAACACGUGGAUAACCUACCUAUAAGACUGGGAUAACUUCGGGAAACCGGAGCUAAUACCGGAUAAUAUAUUGAACCGCAUGGUGCAAUAGUGAAAGACGGUUUUGCUGUCACUUAUAGAUGGAUCCGCGCCGCAUUAGCUAGUUGGUAAGGUAACGGCUUACCAAGGAGACGAUGCGUAGCCGACCUGAGAGGGUCGUCGGCCAGCCUGGAAGUGAGACACGGUCCAGACUCCUACGGGAGGCAGCAGUAGGGAAUCUUCCGCGAUGGGCGAAAGCCUGACGGAGCAACGCCGCGUAAGUGAUGAAGGUCUUCGGAUCGUAAAACUCUGUUAUUAGGGAAGAACAAAUGUGUAAGUAACUAUGAACGUCUUGACGGUACCUAGUCAGAAAGCCACGGCUAACUACGUG
rnacentral:rRNA from 1 species